CCUGAAACCCAACCCCCAUAAGAAGAAGCCCAAAUACAAUCUGCCCUUGCCCAGUAUACAUACAAGGUCAGGGGACAACACUGGUUUUCAUCUUGUAGUUCAACUUGUUUUAUACACAGUUUAAAGGGAUAGUUCAUCCAAAUUACAAAAUGACUUAAGUUACGUUUACAUUUCAUUUCAAAUCCAAUGCAUCCAAAGUGUACAUUAGUCUUUCCUGGUUCAUAACAUAUUUUUUGGUCCCUUUCAGAUCACAGCCAUGUCAACAGUGGGCGUCAGGCUUGUAAGAGACAUGAAUUAUCUGUGAGAUUCAGUGAACAAGGCUAGAAGGACUGGGUAUUGGCUCCUACGGGUUACUCUGCCUUCUACUGUGAUGGAGAAUGCCUCUACCCUCUGUGUUCCUGCAUAAACUCCACCACCCACACUAUGAUCCAACUAGUGGUUUGUUGAACAUGAGUGGAAAUGAAACUCCAGCACACUGGUAGCACUAAAGACGUGUGAGUAUAACUUUUCCAGGUGAGUUGAACCUGCCUGUGGGUGCAGUGGGGAUAUUCCUGGGAGGUCUACUGAUGAAGAGGUAUAAGCUUGGCGUUGUGUCUGGAGCCCAGCUGUCUUUCGUCACCUCCUUCAUGGCCUACCUCCUCCUCCCUCUGCAGUCUGGCACUAAGUGUGACAACGU